AAGGUAGCUUCGGCCUCUGCCCUGGGAUGGGCCCGCGGCCUAUCAGCUUGUUGGUGAGGUAACGGCUCACCAAGGCUACGACGGGUAGCUGGUCUGAGAGGAUGAUCAGCCACACUGGGACUGAGAUACGGCCCAGACUCCUACGGGAGGCAGCAGUGGGGAAUCUUGCGCAAUGGGCGAAAGCCUGACGCAGCGACGCCGCGUGGAGGAUGACGGCCUUCGGGUUGUAAACUCCUUUUAAGAGGGACGAAGAUCUGACGGUACCUCUUGAAUAAGCCCCGGCUAACUACGUGCCAGCAGCCGCGGUAAUACGUAGGGGGCGAGCGUUGUCCGGAUUUACUGGGCGUAAAGCGCGCGUAGGCGGGCCUUUAAGUCGGGGGUGAAAUUCCAAGGCUCAACCUUGGAACUGCCUCCGAAACUGGAGGUCUUGAGGCACGGAGAGGGAAGUGGAAUUCCUGGUGUAGCGGUGAAAUGCGUAGAUAUCAGGAGGAACACCCGUGGCGAAGGCGGCUUCCUGGCCGUGUCCUGACGCUGAGGUGCGAAAGCUAGGGGAGCGAACGGGAUUAGAUACCCCGGUAGUCCUAGCCGUAAACGAUGGAUACUAGGUGUUGGUGGUAUCGACCCCACCAGUGCCGCAGCUAACGCAUUAAGUAUCCCGCCUGGGGAGUACGGGCCGCAAGGUUGAAACUCAA
rnacentral:rRNA from 1 species